UCUAAGAACCCGUGCUUGACACGAGGUUGCAAGUUUGUUUGCAAAGUGCUCCUGCUGGUGCACUGGAGCUGAAGGAAGAAGUUGCAGAGCUUGUGAGGGCAGAUCUCCCUCAAGCCAUCCACACAGAACUGAAUGGAGACAGGCUGCGUGGACGGUGGUGCAGACGGCUUCUGGGAUGCGAUGGCUGCUGCUGAGUUACUGGUUGCCUCUUCAUGCUGCUGAUGGUGCAUUGAUGAUGGCCCAGGAGCGUCACUGGCUCUGGGAGAAGCCAGCUGCCAUGUUGUAAGGAUGCUCAAGCAGCCCUGUGGAGAGGCCCACAUGGUGAGGAACUGAGGCCUCCUGCCAACAGCCACAUGAAUGCGCCAUCUUAAAAUUGCUCCUCAGCCCCAUCAAGCCCUCCAAAGACUGUAGUCCCAGAUGACACCUGGAUUGUAACCUCACAAGAGACCCUAAGCCAGAAGCACCCAGCUGAUCCACUUCCAAACUCCUGACCCACAGAGAAGUCUAACAUAAUAAAUACAUUUAUGGUUUUAAGCCACACAGUUUGAGGGUAAUAAUCUGUGUAGCAAUAAAUAAUUAAGA